rnacentral:lncRNA from 10 species
AUUUCCAGUUCCACUUAAAGCAAUCAUAGCUCAUUCUUACUGAAUUAAAAGACCCAGGCUACCCUGCUGGGUAUGGUUUACCUUGUGUUCACUUAGGUGUACCUGCUAUUCUCCUGGCAUCACAGAGAGACAAAAGUCCCCAGGAUGGAUGGUACAAGUAUGAAACGCCUGCUUGAGAUGAGAAGCCAAAAUCAGGGGAUUAUUCCUGAGGCUUUAAUAUGCAGAUUGGUCUUUGGAGUUCAUUGAUUGUUAGGGCAGUUUCUCUGACAUAAAAAUUAAUCUUCAGAAAUUUACACACUCAUAGAGAAUGAAGCUGGCAGGAUUUAGCAUCAUGGCAGUUGAUGAAAUGCCCAUGUUAGAGGCCAGAAGAAGUCAUAAUCCAGUGUCAUCUUUGUUUGUUAUACAGAUGAAGGGAUUAAACAAAUCCUUCCUAUUAAUACUCCCUUCUCUCCAAAGUACCAAAAAAUGUUUAGAAACAGAGUUCAAUAAGUCACUUACAGAAAAGAAUAAUAAUGAUAUAUCAAUAUCAUGAACAUUAGAAAUGUAUACCAUACAAAUAAUUAUUAAUUGGCCAAUAUUUAAAUAAAGGUGCUAUUCCCGUUCUUUGAUAUCAGUUGAUGACUAGAGGUAGGAAUAGUCUUUGCUACUUAAACUUCACCUAAAAUGUUUCUCAGAGAUUUCCAAUUCAAAGUGAACAUAACUUUAAUGACACUUGAAAAAUUAUCUUAGUAUAGGCUAUUUCUAAGUUAUUUAUUUAUUUAUUUAUUUUUGCUUUUCCUUUCAUCAAAAUGGACUCCAAUAUUUACAAAUCUUU